UUCUCGCUCAAAGCAUCGCAGUCGAGGCUCACACACAGUCCUGCAUUCCAGGAUCCGACAUGCCUUGGGAGAAAGUCCCCGGACAGCUCUUCCUCUGGAAGACAAGCUUAGAAGCGCCGCCAUAGAAGCAUUUGUCUCGCGGCUUACCUCGCCUUCACCUCCGUCGCUCUUCCGGCCCCAGGUGCCGCUUGUACUCUGUAUGUUCUAGUUGCGUCUACCUCCGCUAGCCGAGGGGGCUAUGUCUGAAGGCAGGACGAGGAUAUGAGUCCUGCCCUCUCGUCAGGUGGGUGGCUCUGGCUCUUCUCGUGGCUAGCAGAGGAGGCCUCUGGCAUUUCCGGAACGAUUCGUGCGGGUCCAGGUGGUGGCGACAUUUUUUCGUCGCGGUCGAAAGAUAUGCGAUUGCUCCGCCAUUGUGGUGGAGUAACUCGAUGGGGCUUAUUCUUGAGGCGAGA
rnacentral:RNase_MRP_RNA from 2 species